UUGCGCGUGAAUACGAUCCCAGUCUGAGCGAAUAUUCUCGAUACAUUUUCCAAUCUUGGCACCACGAGAGACGAGGAUAUAAUAUUUAAUCGCAGCCAUCACGCAGAAACUGAGCGGACCGAUCAUUUUGAUCUUGGUGUCGAGAUCGCCUGUUUUGUCGAGAAGAGUGCAGAGAGCGCAAGGGAGAUAGGCCAGACUCCGAUUGACUUGAGUAACCAACGAUUUAUCUGGAUGCUAUACAUCCAAUCUUUGUCCCAUGAAUGGGUAGAUGGAUUUAGAAGGACGACCAUACUGUAUGGAAUGAUAUCAACGAGUCGAAAGUGCACGCACAACUGAAGGGAUGAUGAACGGUGAUACAUCGAUUACUGAAGCUUUCGACAUCGCGCAUGUGCUAAUUUCGUUGGCUUUCUCUCAACAAACCUGAUUCGAGCAGCUUGCCAGUGCAGAACUUACCUCCUAACCACUAGUUGAUUCGAUCCGCGAGGAG
rnacentral:misc_RNA from 1 species